rnacentral:rRNA from 1 species
UUCCCCGGAAUGGGGUGCCGUCCGGUCGCGUGGUNAGCGGAANGCCANACGCAAUUGACUCUCUUCCGAAGGACGCUGCAGCCGGCGGGGCCGUUGCAAACGUGACGGCCUUAAGGGCGGGAGAUGGCAGUUGNCCGGCGGCGCGCACUCAGCGCGGGAGCCGGUUGUUAGCCNUUCCGCCAGUGGCCCGUCGCCCCGCCGUGGUGUCACUAAGCCCUAACGGGCCUUCCUCCGUCCCCUUNCAAAGCGAAAGAGCCUCCGCUGGAGCAGGCCGCCGUCUCGUCGCACGCCCCAGCGUGGAUGGACGAGUGAGUAGGCGCCGCAAGCGUNGAAGNCGAGUCGCCGGGGUNCUGGAGGCUCGCAGCGAGUAGGUCGGUCACCCACCCGACCCGUCUUGAAACACGGACCAAGGAGUCUAACAUGUUCGCGAGUCAAUGGGUCUUGAACAGGCCCAGAGGCGCAAUGAAAGCAAAGGGUGGCCGUCUGGUGCCCGAGUUGGGAUCCCCGUCUUCGGGCGGGGCGCACCAACGACCCGUCCCGUCCGGCNNGCCGGUGGGAUGGAGUGUGAGCGUACACNUUGGGACCC